rnacentral:rRNA from 1 species
GGGGAAUCUGCCUUUGAGCGGGGGACAACAUUUGGAAACGAAUGCUAAUACCGCAUAAAAACUUUAAACACAAGUUUUAAGUUUGAAAGAUGCAAUUGCAUCACUCAAAGAUGAUCCCGCGUUGUAUUAGCUAGUUGGUGAGGUAAAGGCUCACCAAGGCGAUGAUACAUAGCCGACCUGAGAGGGUGAUCGGCCACAUUGGGACUGAGACACGGCCCAAACUCCUACGGGAGGCAGCAGUAGGGAAUCUUCGGCAAUGGACGAAAGUCUGACCGAGCAACGCCGCGUGAGUGAAGAAGGUUUUCGGAUCGUAAAACUCUGUUGGUAGAGAAGAACGUUGGUGAGAGUGGAAAGCUCAUCAAGUGACGGUAACUACCCAGAAAGGGACGGCUAACUACGUGCCAGCAGCCGCGGUAAUACGUAGGUCCCGAGCGUUGUCCGGAUUUAUUGGGCGUAAAGCGAGCGCAGGUGGUUUAUUAAGUCUGGUGUAAAAGGCAGUGGCUCAACCAUUGUAUGCAUUGGAAACUGGUAGACUUGAGUGCAGGAGAGGAGAGUGGAAUUCCAUGUGUAGCGGUGAAAUGCGUAGAUAUAUGGAGGAACACCGGUGGCGAAAGCGGCUCUCUGGCCUGUAACUGACACUGAGGCUCGAAAGCGUGGGGAGCAAACAGGAUUAGAUACCCUGGUAGUCCACGCCGUAAACGAUGAGUGCUAGAUGUAGGGAGCUAUUAGUUCUCUGUAUCGCAGCUAACGCAAUAAGCACUCCGCCUGGGGGAGUACGA